rnacentral:rRNA from 1 species
GACGAACGCUGGCGGCGUGCUUUACACAUGCAAGUCGAGCGAUGAGAUCCCUUCGGGGAAGGAUUAGCGGCGAACGGGUGAGGAACACGUGAGGAAUCUGCCUUCAACACUGGGAUAACUCCGGGAAACCGGGGCUAAUACCGGAUACGAGGCCUGCAGGCAUCUGCGGGUCUGGAAAGUUUUUCGGUUGAAGAUGACCUCGCGGCCUAUCAGCUUGUUGGUGAGGUAAUGGCUCACCAAGGCGACGACGGGUAGCCGGCCUGAGAGGGCGACCGGCCACACUGGGACUGAGACACGGCCCAGACUCCUACGGGAGGCAGCAGUGGGGAAUAUUGGGCAAUGGAGGGAACUCUGACCCAGCGACGCCGCGUGCGGGAUGAAGGCCUUCGGGUUGUAAACCGCUUUCAGCAAGGAAGAAGCGAAAGUGACGGUACUUGCAGAAGAAGCACCGGCUAACUAUGUGCCAGCAGCCGCGGUAAUACAUAGGGUGCAAGCGUUGUCCGGAAUUAUUGGGCGUAAAGAGCUCGUAGGUGGUUCGUCACGUCGGAUGUGAAAAUCUGGGGCUUAACCCCAGACCUGCAUUCGAUACGGGCGAGCUAGAGUGUGGUAGGGGAGACUGGAAUUCCUGGUGUAGCGGUGGAAUGCGCAGAUAUCAGGAGGAACACCAAUGGCGAAGGCAGGUCUCUGGGCCAUUACUGACACUGAGGAGCGAAAGCGUGGGGAGCGAACAGGAUUAGAUACCCUGGUAGUCCACGCCGUAAACGGUGGGCACUAGUUGUGGGAACCUUCCACGGUUUCUGCGACGCAGCUAACGCAUUAAGUGCCCCGCCUGGGGAGUACGAUCGCAAGAUUAAAACUCAAAGGAAUUGACGGGGCCCCGCACAAGCAGCGGAGCAUGCGGCUUAAUUCGACGCAACGCGAAGAACCUUACCAAGGCUUGACAUAUACAGGAAUAGGCAGAAA